rnacentral:rRNA from 1 species
UACGUAGGGUGCAAGCGUUGUCCGGAAUUAUUGGGCGUAAAGAGCUCGUAGGCGGUUUGUUGCGUCGGCUGUGAAAUCCCGAGGCUCAACCUCGGGUCUGCAGUCGAUACGAGCAAACUAGAGUGUUGCAGGGGAGACUGGAAUUCCUGGUGUAGCGGUGAAAUGCGCAGAUAUCAGGAGGAACACCGGUGGCGAAGGCGGUUCUCUGGGCAUGUCCUGACGCUGAGGAGCGAAAGUGUGGGGAGCGAACAGG